rnacentral:rRNA from 1 species
UACGUAAGUGGCAAGCGUUAUCCGGAUUUAUUGGGCGUAAAGGGAACGCAGGCGGUCUUUUAAGUCUGAUGUGAAAGCCUUCGGCUUAACCGGAGUAGUGCAUUGGAAACUGGGAGACUUGAGUGCAGAAGAGGAGAGUGGAACUCCAUGUGUAGCGGUGAAAUGCGUAGAUAUAUGGAAGAACCCCAGUGGCGAAAGCGGCUCUCUGGUCUGUAACUGACGCUGAGGUUCGAAAGCGUGGGUAGCAAACAGG